rnacentral:misc_RNA from 1 species
GAAAGAUUCUGGACUUGUUGUCGAUCCUGAGAAGGAAGUUACAGUUACCUCCGGCUGCACUGAAGCAAUUGCUGCAACCAUGCUUGGGUUAAUAAAUCCUGGCGACGAGGUGAUCCUUUUUGCUCCUUUUUAUGAUUCUUAUGAAGCCACUCUAUCAAUGGCUGGUGCCAAAGUCAAGUGCAUCACAUUACGCCCUCCAGAUUUUGCUCUCCCAAUAAAUGAGCUCAGGUCUGCAAUCUCAAAGGAUACUCGGGCA